CCGUGAUGCUGCUCGCCGGAGAGGAGGACACCACCACCACCACCAUGGCAACGAGCCUAGAUUCGUGCAAAACACCUGAUCUGGAAGAAAACGUUGGCAAUAUCGUACAAAAUUCUGAGCGGUCGUUGACAAUGAGCUGUGAGAAUGUUGAGGAGGAGGUCGAAUGCGAAGCUGAGAAGAAGAAAAAGGAGUCCCAGACGGAUAAAGCACCGAAGGAGUCCAAGAAAAGGAAGGAAAUGGCGCCAAGACUACAGGAGCAACCCCAAUAAGAUCAAUGAUAACAAGCAGCCAACUCUUCAAGCUACAACAGAUCAGGAGGACAGCAGUAAUUGUGCACUCGUUGAUUUAGAAAGUUAAUUUCAGAGGCAUGUCCUCGCUUUACUGUGGGAGAACCACUAUCAGAGAUUGUGUCCGCAUUUACUACCGUGAGAAAGAGGAACUGAGAAAGUUUUUCAUGGAAUCUUGUGCUAGGGUUAGCCUAUCAACCAAUACCUGGACAUGUAUGCAACAGCAGAGCUAUAUUUGUGUUACGGCUCAUUUCCUUGACACUGACUGGAAGCUACAUAAGCAGAUUAUUGGGUUCUUGGUGAGUGGUCGUAAGGGUUCAACAGGUGUUUGGUGGAUUGGGGCUUAGAGAAAGUGUUAUCAAUAACUAUUGACAAUGUAUCAGCAAAUGAUGGCGCUAUAAGUCACAUGAGGAGAGUCAUGAACAAUGCUACAACCAGCAAGCAGAAGGGCAAUGUAUUCACAUGAGAUGUGCAGCCCAUGUCAUAAACUUGAUAGUUUCAGAUUGCCUAAGAGAGUUAGACAUCUCAGUGCAGUGAGCCCGUGCUGCUGUCCGUUUUAUCAGAAAUUCUCCAUCAAGAAUUCACUUGAUUUAAAAGGUGUGCUGACUUGGAAAAGGAGGAGAGCAAAGCCUUCUUACCAUUUGAUAUAUGCACAAAAUGGAACUCCACAUACCUAAUAUUGAAAACUGCAGCCACAUAUGAGAAAUUUGGAAAAAGAUUAGUGAAACACUUAAUGAUUUGUUUAAGAUGUAUGCUUCAAGUGAGAAGAAGGAAAUGGAAUCCAAUGUGGUGCAAGGCACGAGCUUGAUGAGGUCCCUAAUUGCCAAGAGGAUGAGAAUGAACAACUGUGUGAUUGGCCCUACCAAAUCUGAGCUUGAGAAAUAUCUUGCCGAGGAGACUGAAGCAAACACCACCAAAUUUCAUAUGCUCGUUUACACUCUUCAUGGUCCAAGCACUCAUUUGUACUCAUGACUGGACGCGGCAAUCAGCUCCUGUAAAUGAUGAAGAGGAUACAGAACAGUUGACCAAACUAGAGGAAGGCAUGAAAAUAGGUUCAUUUGGUGCUUCCUUUGUUUCCCUAGUUCCUUGCUGAAUUUAACUGCUUACUGGUUACUUCAUUUUAAUCUCACAAUUACUUCAAGAAAUGAGUUGUCUCAAUAUAUCCAAGACUAGCUCUAGUAAAAUAAUUCCAUCACCAUUCAUGAUUCCACAUCAUAAAGAUGGUUUACAGAGAUUGGAGCCUUGGGAAAAUCUUUCCAUCUCACUGAUGAGUUUGAUUGUGGUGGUGCAAAACUGCAAAGCUUGUUGUCUUGUUCGGUUCAAGCGAUCGGUUCAUUAUUUUAUUUUGGUCUAUGCUUCCAUGCCGGAACAUCUAUCAAUCAGUCAAUGAUAUGAACUCAAGUUAUCUGUGUCAUGUAGCUGCGCGGCUGCUACUAUGAACUGUAAGUACUAUCUACUUGGCUUCAGGUUAUGAAACCUCACAACUUUUUAUGAUUCAAACAGUAAAAAAUAGCUUCACUUCAGGAAAUUCUACCAAAAACACCAAAGUUGAAUCAUCUCAGCAUUGUUUGGGAAACAGCAAUGGCUAAGAGACUUUGUGGUGUUAUAGCAUACUUUCAGUUUCUCUGUUAUCACGUUCUCAAUUUCUUCUCGCAGUAGAGGGCCAAGAGACUAAUGAUUCAAAUGCCUCCCAUAGAGGCAAAAGCUGAACCUUCUACCUCACCAAAUCAUUUGGUAUAUUCAGGGAUUAUCAUGGACAUAUGGACUCAUGGAGUAGAAAAGCAGAAACAUCUGGUUUCUAGCU